GUUGCUUCCAUCCGGAAGAGUGGCCUUCUCUGUCAUGUGGUCAUUCUGUAGAUGGAAGCAUAGAUUUAUCUGUCAGUAUUAAACAGCAUUGUGCUCCACAAUGGCAUUGUGUUACCUGUCUCCUGAUAAAUUU